ACUUAAAUUGAAGAGUUUGAUCAUGGCUCAGAUUGAACGCUGGCGGCAGGCCUAACACAUGCAAGUCGAGCGGUAGCACAGAGAGCUUGCUCUCGGGUGACGAGCGGCGGACGGGUGAGUAAUGUCUGGGAAACUGCCUGAUGGAGGGGGAUAACUA
rnacentral:rRNA from 1 species